UACGUAAAAGGCUAGCGUUGUCCGGAAUCAUUGGGCGUAAAGCGCGUGUAGGCGGCCCGGUAAGUCCGCUGUGAAAGUCGGGGGCUCAACCCUCGGAUGCCGGUGGAUACUGUCGGGCUCGAGUACGGAAGAGGCGAGUGGAAUUCCUGGUGUAGCGGUGAAAUGCGCAGAUAUCAGGAGGAACACCAAUUGCGAAGGCAGCUCGCUGGGACGUUACUGACGCUGAGACGCGAAAGCGUGGAGAGCAAACAGG
rnacentral:rRNA from 1 species